rnacentral:rRNA from 1 species
GCUUAGAGUUUGAUCCUGGCUCAGAUUGAACGCUGGCGGUAUGCUUAAGACAUGCAAGUCGUGCGGUAGAAGGCUUCGGCCUUUGAGAGCGGCGGACGGGUGAGUAACACGUGGGAAUCUGCCUAUUAGUGGGGGACAGCCCAGCGAAAGCUGGAUUAAUACCGCAUACGCCCUACGGGGGAAAGCAGCAAUGCGCUAAUAGAUGAGCCCGCGUAAGAUUAGCUAGUUGGUAAGGUAAAGGCUUACCAAGGCGACGAUCUUUAGCUGGUCUGAGAGGAUGGCCAGCCACAUCGGGACUGAGACACGGCCCGGACUCCUACGGGAGGCAGCAGUCGGGAAUAUUGGACAAUGGGCGCAAGCCUGAUCCAGCAAUACCGCGUGUGUGAAGAAGGCCUGCGGGUUGUAAAGCACUUUCAGUUGGGAAGAUAAUGACGUUACCAACAGAAGAAGCACCGGCUAACUCCGUGCCAGCAGCCGCGGUAAUACGGAGGGUGCAAGCGUUAAUCGGAAUUACUGGGCGUAAAGCGUGCGUAGGCGGCCUGUUAAGUCAGAUGUGAAAGCCCCGGGCUUAACCUGGGAACUGCAUCUGAUACUGGGAGGCUAGAAUGUGGGAGAGGAGAGUGGAAUUUCCGGUGUAGCGGUGAAACGCAUAGAGAUCGGAAGGAACACCAGUGGCGAAGGCGGCUCUCUGGACCAACAUUGACGCUGAGGCACGAAAGCGUGGGUAGCAACCAGGAUUAGAUACCCUGGUAGUCCACGCCGUAAACGAUGUCAACUAGCCGCCGGCCUCACUCUAGAGGUCGGUGGUGCAGCUAACGCAUUAAGUUGACCGCCUGGGGAGUACGGCCGCAAGGUUGAAACUCAAAGGAAUUGACGGGGGCCCGCACAAGCGGUGGAGCAUGUGGUUUAAUUCGAUGCAACGCGAAGAACCUUACCUGGUCUUGACAUGUAGUGAACUUAGCAGAAAUGUUUUGGUGCCUUCGGGAACACUAACACAGGUGCUGCACGGCUGUCGUCAGCUCGUGUCGUGAGAUGUUGGGUUAAGUCCCGCAACGAGCGCAACCCUUGCCCUUAGUUACAAUCAUUUAGUUGGGGACUCUAAGGGGACUGCCGGUGAUAAACCGGAGGAAGGUGGGGACGACGUCAAGUCAUCAUGGCCCUUACGACCGGGGCUACACACGUACUACAAUGGUCGGUACAGACGGUCGCAAGCUCGCGAGAGUAAGCUAAUCCGAGAAAACCGAUCGUAGUCCGGAUCGCAGUCUGCAACUCGACUGCGUGAAGUCGGAAUCGCUAGUAAUUGCAAAUCAGAAUGUUGCGGUGAAUACGUUCCCGGGCCUUGUACACACCGCCCGUCACACCAUGGGAGUUUGUUGCAAAAGAAGUAGGUAGCUUAACCGCAAGGAGGGCGCUUACCACUUUGUGGCCGAUGACUGGGGUGAAGUCGUAACAAGGUA